GGAAGUGUGGUUCAAAUGGUAGAGCACCUGCCUAGAAAACAGGUUGGGUUAAAUCCCCAGUACUGCCC
rnacentral:tRNA from 1 species